UACGAAGGGAGCUAGCGUUGUUCGGAAUCACUGGGCGUAAAGCGCACGUAGGCGGAUGUGUCAGUCAGGGGUGAAAUCCCGGAGCUCAAACUUCGGAACUGCCUCUGAUACAGCACGUCUUGAGUCCGGAAGAGGUGGGUGGAAUUCCUAGUGUAGAGGUGAAAUUCGUAGAUAUUCGCAAGAACACCAGUGGCGAAGGCGGCUCACUGGCCCGGUACUGACGCUGAGGUGGCGAAAGCGUGGGGAGCAAACAGG
rnacentral:rRNA from 1 species